UCCUUAGAUGUUCUGGGCCGCACGCGCGCUACACUGACGAAUGCAACGAGCUUAUAACCUUGGCCGAAAGGUCUGGGUAAUCUCCAAAUUUCGUCGUGAUGGGGAUAGAUUAUUGCAAUUAUUAAUCUUCAACGAGGAAUGCCUAGUAAGCGCAAGUCAUCAGCUUGCGUUGAUUACGUCCCUGCCCUUUGUACACACCGCCCGCCGCUCCUACCGAUUGAAUGGUCCGGUGAAGCGUUCGGACCGUGGCCUUUGGACGGUUCGCCGUCUGUUGGCUGCGGGAAGUUCGUUAAACCUUAUCAUUUAGAGGAAGGAGAANUCGUANCA
rnacentral:rRNA from 1 species